ACGUGAUCUGAGUUCAGACCGGAGUAAUCCAGGUCAGUUUCUAUCUAUAAAAGAGUUUUUUCUAGUACGAAAGGACCGAAAAAACAUGGCCCAUACUUAAUGCAAGCCAUAAUUACUAACUUAUGACCAAAUCUCAAUAAGUACUUAAUCCACCACCAAACUCAAAAAAAGAGUA
rnacentral:rRNA from 1 species